AUUUUUUGUCUUCUCAGCGAGCAGUUAUGUUUCGAAUGUAACAUCCGAGUAUCCGACUGAAGGCUCGACUGAAAUUGUUUCCUCUUCCAAGGGCACUAGCCUAGAUGCAUUGUCUCAUCUCCCCACCAUAUUUUCUCUCAAAUGAAUAGAUCGGGUCCGCGCAUCUCAUCUUCCAAUCCCACCUAUUCUAUUCUUGAUCGAGUCCUAACUCCUAGCCGCCGGAAUAGAUCUUCGGCGCCAAGAUGGGCCUCGAGGGUUCGCCCGGAUGAGAUCGCUUCGCCGGCGCCCUGCGUCGGCUUUGCCCCUCAGUCGUACAGCCCGUCAUGCAGCCCCUCAGCCGCUCCUCCCUUUGCGCUGGCGUGAAGAACAACGAUCUAUCGAUCUGGUUGGUGUGGCUGUGAGCCUGUGACAGGAGAGAAUACGAGGGGCUCCUUGCAGCUGGGCUCUACUUGCCGCUCUAUCAAACUAUUCUCUUUUCUUUACUCAUGUCCGUUAUGCUCUCUCAAUCAGACCGAAACAUUACCAUUGGCGUCAAUGUUCCCGUCAGUAAGUUUAAUCAGAUUUGGAUUUUAUUCAGAGCAGUUUUGAUCUAUAUUUCCAGGAGCAGUUUUGAUCUAUAUUUUUCGUCGACCUACCAAUAUUGUGUUAUUGAAGGAAAACGGAAUGAAUAAGAUGAAAGUGAGGUAACAUUAAUGGCCACAGAUAGUGAUCGUGUCUGGUGUGGCAAAGGUAACCCAUUCAUCAUUUUUUGGUGAGACCACAUAACUGAAGUGAGACUUUUACCACUGAUUUUUUGGAGAUGCUUUGUUCGAUGUAGUUGCUCAAUGCUUUAUGAUAUGUCGUGCUUCACAACUGAAACACGCUUUUACCACUGAUUUUUUGAAGAUGCUUUGUUCAAUGUAGUUGCUCAAUGCUUUAUGAUAUGUCGUGCUUCACAACUGAAACAUGCUUCACUGCCUCCUCUUGCCCGUUGGCAAGCCGUAUCCAAACAAAAGGAGCUCACAUUGGAGCAGUGGAGCUGCGCUACUCGAGCUUGCUCCCACCGCAAUCUAUGCAUAUGCAUUGCAUCAACAUCUAAUCCUGGUCUUGGCACAGCCUUCUAAUGUGAGAUUGGCACAACCAAUUUUGGUAAGGCACGUGAUGAAUGUCAAUUCCCCAGUUUAUGCUUGACGAUACUUUUCAUUUGUAUGUUUGUCGUGCUUAGUUAAUUAUGGCGAUCUCAUGGUCUCUGCCCAUCUCUAUCCUUUUUUGGGUUAUGAUGUGAUUGUGAAAAUCCCCCGUCAUCACAAGGUAGGUAAAAGUUUAUACUAGACCAUUUAAGUCCAUAAGCCGAGGCUAACUGCAUUUCAAUCUGCAGAGUUAUUGAGCAUAAAUUAAUAAUUAAGGGAAUACCUGUAUGUAUGUGUUGUGCCACAGAACAUAGCCCAUUGGACUGUCAAAGGAAAGAUGAGCUUGCUAGCUUGGACCAAGGCUGCAUGAGGAAGGCCGUCAACUGGAAUAGUUUGGACGUCAAGUAACUAGAAUUUGGUUCAUUUCAUACACAAAUUAUCUUCUUUGCUGGUAAAAGUAACAAACUACCAAUAUCACCAUAUUAUGCAUAUGAUUUUACUGUUUUUCUUUGUAUUGAGCAUUGCUCCGUAAGCUACAUAAAUUCUUCAUUUUUUAUCUAUAUUCGCAUACUACUAUGUUGCAAACUUUCAGCCAUUGAAGUCUCCAGAGAAUUUGUUAUUAGCAUAGCUUUGCUGGCAAAUCAGUUUGUUCUUACGUACCAAAAAAUAUCUAUGAUGAAAGUGGUAUACGAUAUCUUGCUUGGUGAUUAAAUGUUAUU